UCUCCAGGACCUUGCUCCAGACAAAUAACACCCUGAAGCUCCAACUUUGUGGUGGGUCAAUUAAACUCCAUGAAAUAUGGUCAGUACCCUCCUCAUUAUGACAAGCUCACCUUGAUGCUAGUUUCUGUCUGCAACUCUUGGAUUCAAUCACCUCAAAAAAGGAGAGAUUAAACAGAACAUCUAUAAUCUUCUAAAGACCUAAAAGCCUGCAUUAUGUCUGGAAACUGUAGUAUUUAUCUACUAUUCCCAGGAGACUAUUGGUAAG